CAAUAGCUAAGGAAAGGAGUUUCGAGGUGUGUCUUUCCCCAGGUACGCCCUGAUCUAAAAGCUUCAUUUUCUCACUCGAUCUUCUGGUGAUUUAUAAACUGGGGAAGUUCAGGUCAACUUCCAAGAACAGCCAAAUAGGUGCUAGCUAGGUGAGAGGAGCGAGGAAGGUGUGGCUCCCUCAAGUACUUCCUGAUCUGAAAAUUCCAUUUGCUCUCCCUUCUUCUCGUGAUUUAUACAUUGUGGAAGGGAAGUGCACGGUCAACUUCCAAGAGUAGCAGGAGGUGCGAGGUGCGGCUCCCUCAGAUUUAAAGCCAUGAACUGGAUUCAACGCAAGAUCUACCUGUACAAUGUCACUUUCGGACCAUACGGGUUGGAUUGGUGGGAAAAAUACAUAUUCAAUUUAUUGGUGAUCAUGUUGCUCUGGUUUAUUUGCUACAAUGGAUCACGAACUGCAGCCGAGUUUUACAGAAGCCAUCUCAAAGUUAUGCUUGGAAUUGGAGAGUAAUAGAUUGUUGAAGGUAGAAUCAAUGGAAGAGUGAUUUUUCUUAUACUGUAGUACCUCA